rnacentral:rRNA from 1 species
UACGUAGGUGGCAAGCGUUGUCCGGAUUUACUGGGCGUAAAGAGCGCGCAGGCGGUCGUUCAAGUCGCGUGUGAAAGCCCCCGGCUCAACUGGGGAGGGUCACGCGAUACUGAUCGACUCGAAGGCAGGAGAGGGUAGUGGAAUUCCCGGUGUAGCGGUGAAAUUCGUAGAUAUCGGGUAGAACACCAGUGGCGGAAAGGCGGCUAUCUGGACGGUAACUGACGCUGAGGAGCGAAAGCGUGGGUAGCGAACAGG